GGUAAGGCCGUGCCGGGGGCGCGGGUAAUACGUGGGGGGCGAGGUUUGUCCGGAAGCAUUGGGCGUAAGGGGCGCGUAGGCGGCCCGAUAAGUCCGCUGUAAAAGGCAACGGCUCAACUGUUGAAAGCCGGUGGAUACUGUCGGGCUAGAGUACGGAAGAGGCAAGUGGAAUUCCUGGUGUAGCGGUGGAAUGCGCAGAUAUCAGGAGGAACACCCAUAGCGAAGGCAGCUUGCUGGGACGUUACUGACGCUAAGGCGCGAAAGCGUGGGGAGCGAACAGGAUUAGAUACCCGAGUAGUC
rnacentral:rRNA from 1 species